AGCGGAGGAAAAGAAACCAACAGGGAUUGCCCUAGUAACGGCGAGUGAAGCGGCAACAGCUCAAAUUUGAAAUCUGGCUCUUUUAGGGUCCGAGUUGUAAUUUGCAGAGGGCGCUUUGGCGUUGGCAGCGGUCCAAGUUCUUUGGAACAGGACGUCACAGAGGGUGAGAAUCCCGUACGUGGUCGCUAGCCUUCGCCGUGUAAAGCCCCUUCGACGAGUCGAGUUGUUUGGGAAUGCAGCUCUAAAUGGGAGGUAAAUUUCUUCUAAAGCUAAAUACUGGCCAGAGACCGAUAGCGCACAAGUAGAGUGAUCGAAAGAUGAAAAGCACUUUGGAAAGAGAGUCAAAUAGCACGUGAAAUUGUUGAAAGGGAAGCGCUUGCAGCCAGACUUGCCUGUAGUUGCUUAUCUAGACUUUUGUCUAGUGCACUCUUCUGCGGGCAGGCCAGCAUCAGUUUAGGCGGUUGGAUAAAGGUCUCUAUCACGUACCUCCCUUCGGGGUUGGCCUUAUAGGGGAGACGACAUGCAGCCAGCCUGAACUGAGGUCCGCGCAUCUGCUAGGAUGCUGGCGUAAUGGCUGUAAGCGGCCCGUCUUGAAACACGGACC
rnacentral:rRNA from 1 species